AGUGAACGCUGGCGGUAGGCCUAAUACAUGCAAGUCGAACGGCAGCACAGUAAGAGCUUGCUCUUACGGGUGGCGAGUGGCGGACGGGUGAGGAAUACAUCGGAAUCUACUUUUUCGUGGGGGAUAACGUAGGGAAACUUACGCUAAUACCGCAUACGACCUACGGGUGAAAGCAGGGGAUCUUCGGACCUUGCGUGAUUGAAUGAGCCGAUGUCGGAUUAGCUAGUUGGCGGGGUAAAGGCCCACCAAGGCGACGAUCCGUAGCUGGUCUGAGAGGAUGAUCAGCCACACUGGAACUGAGACACGGUCCAGACUCCUACGGGAGGCAGCAGUGGGGAAUAUUGGACAAUGGGCGCAAGCCUGAUCCAGCCAUACCGCGUGGGUGAAGAAGGCCUUCGGGUUGUAAAGCCCUUUUGUUGGGAAAGAAAAGCAGCAGGUUAAUACCCCGCUGUUCUGACGGUACCCAAAGAAUAAGCACCGGCUAACUUCGUG
rnacentral:rRNA from 1 species